GUAAGGUUUUAUUCAGCCACAUUUUGACUGAACUAGACGACAAAUUGCUCCUCACACAGCAGGAUAUCUUUGGUUUCUCUUGUCCUUUGUUUCAGCUAAUGAUGGGUACAUUCACUGGUGAAGUGUAGACUGCUUGUGUUAUUUCAGACUCAAUUUAUAAACUAACGUUAGCUGCAGUUGCUCUCUGUUAGUGGCACAGUGUCCUUUACAGAGAAAUCCACAAUCCAGCAGCUUUAAACAACUUGAACAAAAUGUCCACAUUCUUGUAUAAGCAGCUGAGAGAGAUGGGUCGGUUUUUAUUUAUUAUAUAUUUUCAUUAAAAUCUGCUCAAAACGUGAUUAAAUAGAAUUAAAAUAAAUGAAUUGCUACAAAUUGUGUAAGUAGUCACAAAGACAGAUUCCCCCCUUUACUGGCCUCUUUGGGCAGCUCAUACAACUGUACACUCCUACAUCGUCCUGUUUUGUUUUGGGUUUUUUUGUUUGUUUGUUUGUUUUCUUUAAAUGAAAAGAAAAAUCUAAUUUACUUGUUGCAGACGUGAUUGUGUUUAUCUCCGCAGAGUCCGCCUGUGUGACUGCUGUGGCUGUGAUCACACUCUGCAGCUCUGCUCUGUUGGAGCUGAAUAUCUGCCUCAGCAGUGCACAGAUGGAAAUCACAGUAAGUCAUGAAAUGUAGGACUUUGAAGAAUCCUCUUCAGCUCCUCCGCGCUCCGUACGGGGAAGCAGCGUACGACUCUCAUCGUGCUUUUUGUACAGCGUUGCAGCGGUGCGUCACACCUUCAUGCGAGCUUUCACUAAAUGAAGCAGAGGAGCCAGUUGUUGUUCACUUCAAGUUUGCAAGAGUCCAGCCCCUCCCACCUCUUGCCGCUCACCAAGCUCCACCCACAACAAUGGGUAGAAAAGACGGCAGACGCCCUGAGCUACUCCACCAGGAUCAAGAGCUCUCGACUCGACUCGACAUUGUGAGUCCGCCUGUGUGACUGCUGUGGCUGUGAUCACACUCUGCAGCUCUGCUCUGUUGGAGCUGAAUAUCUGCCUCAGCAGUGCACAGAUGGAAAUCACAGUAAGUCAUGAAAUGUAGGACUUUGAAGAAUCCUCUUCAGCUCCUCCGCGCUCCGUACGGGGAAGCAGCGUACGACUCGCAUCGUGCUUUUUGUACAGCGUUGCAGCGGUGCGUCACACCUUCAUGCGAGCUUUCACUAAAUGAAGCAGAGGAGCCAGUUGUUGUUCACUUCAAGUUUGCAAGGAUGGCUUUCUUGGGUUUCUUGUCCUCCCUGGUGAUCACAGCAGCAUCCCUGUGCAGAGUUGUCAUCAGAGCACAUUUUUCCUUUUCUUUGGACAGCAGGACACAGGAGUGUCCUCACUGCCAGUUUCCUGGCCUCUCUCCUCCUCACCAGUGUGGUGAUCACAUAUGUAAUCAAUAUCCGCACUUAUGGUAUAUCGACAUGCCAUGGUGCUGCCACACAAUGAACUGUGAGCAAGGCCUCAAAAAAGCAUUUAUAUAGGCUGCCAAAGCUGUGAGAAAAGUUCAAUAUUAUUGAAACAAUGCUGCAACUUUAUGAGAGCAGGUGAUGUUCCCGCGGGAGAGAGACUCUACUGGGCUAAGGUUCCCAUGGUGGUUGCCUGGGACCCAAGGUGUGUGUGUGUGUGUGUGUGUGUGUGUGUGUGUGUGUGUGUGUGUGUGCGCGCAUGUGUGCGUGUGUGCGUGUGUGUGUGUGUUGGCAUGUGUGUGUGUGUGUCCAUAUGACAAAUGAGGAUGUACCUGAGAUCAGUUUUUUACACUAAAUGUAGUCUCCCCCAUUCAUUUCUAAUGACUGGUCAUUUUUGACCGGGAACACCAAGAGUGUACAAAAGGUGAAUAAAAUACACAAAAUUGUAUGUAAAUAAAUACUAUUUAUUUUGUGUGUUGAAAUCCUCUUUGUGGACAAAGUCAUGGACUCUUAGGUCAGUCUGAUCAAAUUAAGUACAUUUUUCACAGAUAAAACUUUUAAAUCGGUCAGAUUUGACCGGAACACAACAUGAGGGUUAUGACGUGUGUGCGGCUGUUAUCUGUCUCCUCUGCUCAUUAAAGCUCAUGUCCAAACUUUAACCUGUCGUGAUGUCCUGGCCCGUUGUUCAAGGUUUUCUUUCCCUUGUUCAGAACAAAUGUGCAUACAAACAUUUCAAACGCACCAAACUGACACUAUCCUCUGUGCAUUUGUUGUCGCACAUUAACGAUGGACACUACAGUGAGCACACAACAGACUCGUGCCGGCUCCAUUACUAAUUACAUUCAGAGUGUGUACAGUGAAAUAAUCGCCACUGAUUAUCAAUGAGGGUCCAUAUUGAUCCAGACUACAGACACUGAGCACGGAGUCAAAAGCUGCAGUGACAGAGGAAACUCUCCUCCUAAAGCUUCUCCAGCACAUGACGGUGUGUGAGCCUGUGUGCGCUCUGGAUGGCACAGAGGCUCACCGCGCCCACCAAGCAAACACGCUAACUGUACAAACGACCGGUCGACCAAGUGUUGUGUUGUGUUGUGUUGUGUUGUGUCUUGUGUUGCUUUGAGGAUGUGUUGUGUUUUUCACUAAAGUCAGUUCUGGUGCGAACUUUGCUUGUACGAAAACAGUAGCUGCUGCUGAUCCACACAAAGGUAGUUUUACACACAAACAUACACGCUCGAUAAAAGAGCACCUGAUCAGUCUCCACCAAUCAAAUCACACUGCAGCCCAUAAAGCCUGCCAAUAUGUUCCCUCUCUUGAGCAGCGAUGGAUUUCGCGUUAAGAGUUAUUACUGCGGUGCGUCGGCACUUUAACCUGUUUGAAAUAAGGCUGCUCUUUGACGAGCCUCUCCCGAGGGGGAACCCUCCCAUCGCACCGAUGCAAUAAGAACCAUGACGUUUUAUACAACCUAUGACACCCGCGCUCAUCUCUCAAGCUUAUCUGAAAAUAUUCACGUCGGUGGCAUACAAACCGCCACGUUAUCCACGAAAACCAUUAUUACGCAGCAGCAUUAGUGUGAAUGAGGACGUUUCUACAUAGCGCUAUGCGCACGUAUGGAAUCUGACGCUCAGUGUCCACAGGGCGAUCUUGGUCAUGGGUAGAAUGCCCAGAAUAUACACCUGGCAACAUACAUGCGAAGACCUUCUUUUAAAAGCUGCAAGAAUUGUUUGUCCUACUAGCGACAGAGGCACAUAUAACCAGCCGCCAUGUCACCUGCUAUGUAAUAAAGGUUUAACAGAGUUUGAACUGUUUUGCAGUUUUGUUUCAUUUGCAAACAACACUUAUAAGAUGUAACAAGAUGUGCGUUUUGUCAAAUUGGAGAAAAACUACAGAAAAACUACAGAUAAUAUGGCCUAUGACUCUGCACAUACACCGUUAUAGGUCAUCUAAUAAAGACGCAAUAAACCAUAAUAUGUAUCAAAUUAAACAACUAGAAAUGUGUUCUACAUUAGAUAGUCAGCAACGACAAACUAAGAUGAGUUCACGUUAAACGUUAAAAAUGUCUAAUUUGUAUCAAAUUAGACAACAACUAGAAAUGUGUUCUGUAUUAGAAAAUAAUAAAACCUGUUUUAUCCUGAUAUUUUUAAACUAACAAUCAUAACAAUCUCAUCACAUUUUCAUUAUUAGUCUCUAUUAGUCUUAUGUAUAGCACACACCAAGCAUCCACAUCGGCCUUUUUUAUUAUUAAAAUGUAACAGUGGUCACAUAUACUUCUCUUCACUGUUCAGAUGCAGUUUAAAAUAUUUCAGCACCAGCCCAGUGACACAGCAUCAGGUGCUCUUGUCCCUCUACCUCAGCACAGCAGAGUGGCACAGCAUCAGGACUAAAGGCACCAACAGACCUGCUGACUGGCCAUCUCCUCUGACAAAGUGAUAUGAGAGCAGCAGAGAGGUCUCGGGUCAGGACCUUGUUGGGCUCUGGUUGAUCUUGAGUUUCGAUCGAGAGGAACCAGGUGGAGAGAGGUGAUGAUUCAC